rnacentral:rRNA from 1 species
CCAAUAGCGUAUAUUAAAGUUGUUGCAGUUAAAAAGCUCGUAGUUGAAUUUCGAGAUCAAUUUGUUGGUCGUGCCUCGGUACGUACUGGCAAUUUUGGUUUCUCCCUUCUGAAGAACCAUGAUGUCAUUAAUUUGGUGUCAUGGGGAAUCAGGACCGUUACUUUGAAAAAAUUAGAGUGUUUAAAGCGGGCUCGCGCUUGAAUACAUUAGCAUGGAAUAAUGAAAUAGGACGUUUGAUUCUAUUUUGUUGGUUUCUAGGAUCGACGUAAUGAUUAAUAG